UACAGAGGGUGCGAGCGUUGUUCGGAAUUAUUGGGCGUAAAGGGCGCGUAGGCGGCUUGUCAAGUGGGAGGUGAAAUCCCUCGGCUUAACCGAGGAACUGCCUUCCAGACUGUUAGGCUUGAGACCGGGAGAGGUGAGUGGAAUUCCCAGUGUAGCGGUGAAAUGCGUAGAUAUUGGGAGGAACACCAGUGGCGAAGGCGGCUCACUGGACCGGUACUGACGCUGAGGCGCGAAAGCGUGGGGAGCAGACGGG
rnacentral:rRNA from 1 species